GACGAACGCUGGCGGCGUGCUUAACACAUGCAAGUCGAACGGAAAGGCCCUGCUUUUGUGGGGUGCUCGAGUGGCGAACGGGUGAGUAACACGUGAGUAACCUGCCCUUGACUUUGGGAUAACUUCAGGAAACUGGGGCUAAUACCGGAUAGGAGCUCCUGCUGCAUGGUGGGGGUUGGAAAGUUUCGGCGGUGGGGGAUGGACUCGCGGCUUAUCAGCUUGUUGGUGGGGUAGUGGCUUACCAAGGCUUUGACGGGUAGCCGGCCUGAGAGGGUGACCGGCCACAUUGGGACUGCGGUACGGCCCAGACUCCUACGGGAGGCAGCAGUGGGGAAUAUUGCACAAUGGGCGGAAGCCUGAUGCAGCAACGCCGCGUGCGGGAUGACGGCCUUCGGGUUGUAAACCGCUUUCGCCUGUGACGAAGCGUGAGUGACGGUAAUGGGUAAAGAAGCACCGGCUAACUACGUG
rnacentral:rRNA from 1 species